UACAGAGGGUGCGAGCGUUAAUCGGAGUUACUGGGCGUAAAGGGCGCGUAGGUGGUUGUGUGUGUGUGAUGUGAAAGCCCCGGGCUUAACCUGGGAAGUGCAUCGCAAACUACACAACUUGAGUAGGUGAGAGGGUAGCGGAAUUUCCGGUGUAGCGGUGAAAUGCGUAGAUAUCGGAAGGAACGUCAAUGGCGAAGGCAGCUACCUGGCACCAUACUGACACUGAGGCGCGAGAGCGUGGGGAGCGAACAGG
rnacentral:rRNA from 1 species